rnacentral:rRNA from 1 species
UACGGAGGGUGCAAGCGUUAUCCGGAUUCACUGGGUUUAAAGGGCGCGUAGGAGGGUAGGUAAGUCAGUGGUGAAAUCUCCGAGCUUAACUUGGAAACUGCCGUUGAUACUAUCUGUCUUGAAUAUUGUGGAGGUGAGCGGAAUAUGUCAUGUAGCGGUGAAAUGCUUAGAUAUGACAUAGAACACCAAUUGCGAAGGCAGCUCGCUACACAUAUAUUGACUCUGAGGCACGAAAGCGUGGGGAUCAAACAGG